rnacentral:tRNA from 1 species
GGGAAUGUGGCUUAGUGGUAGAGUGCUUGCCUACCAUGUAUGAAGCCCUGGGUUCGAUUCCUCAGUGCCA